AUCCUAAGGUGAUCGAGAGAACUCUCGUUAAGGAACUCGGCAAAAUGACCCCGUAACUUCGGGAGAAGGGGUGCUUCUUAGGGUGUUAAAGCCCCGAGAAGCCGCAGUGAAUAGGCCCAGGCGACUGUUUAGCAAAAACACAGGUCUCUGCGAAGCCGUAAGGCGAAGUAUAGGGGCUGACGCCUGCCCGGUGCUGGAAGGUUAAGAGGAGCGCUUAGCGUAAGCGAAGGUGCGAAUUGAAGCCCCAGUAAACGGCGGCCGUAACUAUAACGGUCCUAAGGUAGCGAAAUUCCUUGUCGGGUAAGUUCCGACCCGCACGAAAGGCGCAACGAUCUGGGCACUGUCUCAACGAGAGACUCGGUGAAAUUAUAGUACCUGUGAAGAUGCAGGUUACCCGCGACAGGACGGAAAGACCCCGUGGAGCUUUACUGCAGCCUGAUAUUGAAUGUUGGUACAGCUUGUACAGGAUAGGUAGGAGCCUUGGAAACCGGAGCGCUAGCUUCGGUGGAGGCAUCGGUGGGAUACUACCCUGGCUGUAUUGACCUUCUAACCCGCUGCCCUUAUCGGGCAGGGAGACAGUGUCAGGUGGGCAGUUUGACUGGGGCGGUCGCCUCCUAAAAUGUAACGGAGGCGCCCAAAGGUUCCCUCAGAAUGGUUGGAAAUCAUUCGCAGAGUGUAAAGGCACAAGGGAGCUUGACUGCGAGACCUACAAGUCGAGCAGGGACGAAAGUCGGGCUUAGUGAUCCGGUGGUUCCGCAUGGAAGGGCCAUCGCUCAACGGAUAAAAGCUACCCCGGGGAUAACAGGCUUAUCUCCCCCAAGAGUCCACAUCGACGGGGAGGUUUGGCACCUCGAUGUCGGCUCAUCGCAUCCUGGGGCUGUAGUCGGUCCCAAGGGUUGGGCUGUUCGCCCAUUAAAGCGGUACGCGAGCUGGGUUCAGAACGUCGUGAGACAGUUCGGUCCCUAUCCGUCGCGGGCGCAGGAAAUUUGAGAGGAGCUGUCCUUAGUACGAGAGGACCGGGAUGGACGCACCGCUGGUGUACCAGUUGUUCUGCCAAGGGCAUCGCUGGGUAGCUAUGUGCGGACGGGAUAAGUGCUGAAAGCAUCUAAGCAUGAAGCCCCCCUCAAGAUGAGAUUUCCCAUUCCGCAAGGAAGUAAGAUCCCUGAAAGAUGAUCAGGUUGAUAGGUCUGAGGUGGAAGCGUGGUGACACGUGGAGCUGACAGAUACUAAUAGAUCGAGGACUUAACCUAUA
rnacentral:rRNA from 1 species